rnacentral:rRNA from 1 species
CCUACGGGAGGCAGCAGUGAGGAAUAUUGGUCAAUGGACGCGAGUCUGAACCAGCCAAGUAGCGUGAAGGAUGACUGCCCUAUGGGUUGUAAACUUCUUUUAUAUAGGAAUAAAAUGUUCCACGUGUGCCUUUUUGUAUGUACUUUAUGAAUAAGGAUCGGCUAACUCCGUGCCAGCAGCCGCGGUAAUACGGAGGAUCCGAGCGUUAUCCGGAUUUAUUGGGUUUAAAGGGAGCGUAGGUGGAUUGUUAAGUCAGUUGUGAAAGUUUGCGGCUCAACCGUAAAAUUGCAGUUGAAACUGGCAGUCUUGAGUACAGUAGAGGUAGGCGGAAUUCGUGGUGUAGCGGUGAAAUGCUUAGAUAUCACGAAGAACUCCGAUUGCGAAGGCAGCUUACUAGACUGCAACUGACACUGAGGCUCGAAAGUGUGGGUAUCAAACAGGAUUAGAUACCCGAGUAGUC